GCUCAGAUUGAACGCUGGCGGCAGGCCUUACACAUGCAAGUCGAGCGGAAACGACGGGAGCUUGCUCCCGGGCGUCGAGCGGCGGACGGGUGAGUAACGCGUGGGAAUCUAUCCAGUAGCGGGGGAUAGCCCGGGGAAACCCGGAUUAAUACCGCAUACGCCCUUCGGGGGAAAGCAGGGGAUCUUUGGACCUUGCACUAUUGGGUGAGCCCGCGUCGGAUUAGCUAGUUGGUGGGGUAAAGGCCUACCAAGGCGACGAUCCGUAGCUGGUCUGAGAGGAUGAUCAGCCACACUGGGACUGAGACACGGCCCANACUCCUACGGGAGGCAGCAGUGGGGAAUAUUGCGCAAUGGGGGCAACCCUGACGCAGCCAUGCCGCGUGUGUGAAGAAGGCCUGCGGGUUGUAAAGCACUUUCAGUAGAGAAGAAAAGCCUACGGUUAAUAACCGUGAGUCUUGACGUUACCUACAGAAGAAGCUCCGGCUAACUCCGUGCCAGCAGCCGCGGUAAUACGGAGGGAGCGAGCGUUAAUCGGAAUUACUGGGCGUAAAGCGCGCGUAGGCGGCUUUGUAAGUCGGAUGUGAAAGCCCUGGGCUCAACCUGGGAAUUGCAUUCGAUACUGCAUGGCUAGAGUAUGGUAGAGGGAAGUGGAAUUUCCGGUGUAGCGGUGAAAUGCGUAGAUAUCGGAAGGAACACCAGUGGCGAAGGCGACUUCCUGGGCCAAUACUG
rnacentral:rRNA from 1 species